rnacentral:tRNA from 1 species
GCCCGGUUAGCUCAAUCGGUAGAGCGUGAGACUCUUACGAGUACACAAAAUCUCAAGGUUGCGGGUUCGACCCCCGCAUCGGGCU